UUGGUAGACUAGGCGAUCGCCGCUGUAUACUGGCAACAGUUGCACAGGGGAGGAAAGUCCGGGCUACAUAGGGCAGCGUGCCAGCUAACAGCUGGGCAGGGUAACUUGACGACCAGUGCAGCAGAGAGUAGACCGCCUCGUCUAACGAGGUAAGGGUGAAAGGGUGCGGUAAGAGCGCACCGCGUGAAUGGCAACAUCUCACGGCAUGGUAAACUCCACGCGUAGCAAGACCAAAUAGGCAUCGGCAUGGCGCGGCCCGCGUUCGAUGCGGGUAGGUUGCUUGAGCAUAUUAGCAAUGAUAUGCCUAGAGGAAUGAUCGUCCACGACAGAACCCGGCUUAUCGGUUUACCAAUUUC
rnacentral:RNase_P_RNA from 1 species